UUGCGCAACAGUGUUCCAUGAGGUUUUCUUCAUACAUUACCCAACAAAGUUACUAAGUUAUUUCUACACCUUACAACACAAUUGAUAUUUCUCAAAAAUUGCAUAUACUCAACCCCUGCUUUUCUUAAAUCACAAUCGUAUGAACAUAAUAAGAUCAAACCAUAUACAUAUUUUGCUUCAAGAUAACCCUUUUUGGCAGUCAUUUUCAAGUCAUUAAUGCCUUUUUCAAUAUUUCCCUUAUAUCUAAUUAUUU
rnacentral:lncRNA from 1 species